GACGAACGCUGGCGGCGUGCUUAACACAUGCAAGUCGAACGGGGUGUUUAUUUCGGUAAACACCAAGUGGCGAACGGGUGAGUAACGCGUAAGCAAUCUACCUUCAAGAUGGGGACAACACUUCGAAAGGGGUGCUAAUACCGAAUGAAUGAGAGAUGACCGCAUGGAUAUUUCUCUAAAGGAGGCCUCUGAAAAUGCUUCCGCUUGAAGAUGAGCUUGCGUCUGAUUAGCUAGUUGGUGAGGGUAAAGGCCCACCAAGGCGACGAUCAGUAGCCGGUCUGAGAGGAUGAACGGCCACAUUGGGACUGAGACACGGCCCAGACUCCUACGGGAGGCAGCAGUGGGGAAUCUUCCGCAAUGGGCGAAAGCCUGACGGAGCAACGCCGCGUGAACGAAGAAGGUCUUAGGAUCGUAAAGUUCUGUUGUUAGGGGCGAAGGGCAACAUUUUGAAUAAGGGUGYUGUUUGACGGUACUUAACGAGGAAGCCACGGCUAACUACGUGCCAGCAGCCGCGGUAAUACGUAGGCGGCAAGCGUUGUCCGGAAUUAUUGGGCGUAAAGGGAGCGCAGGCGGGAAGUUAAGCGGACUUUAAAAGUGCGGGGCUCAACCCCGUGAGGGGGUCCGAACUGACUUUCUUGAGUGCAGGAGA
rnacentral:rRNA from 1 species